rnacentral:rRNA from 1 species
CUAACACAUGCAAGUCGAGCGAGAAAGUGUAGCAAUACAUGAGUAAAGCGGCGCACGGGUGAGUAACACGUGGAUAACCUGUCUCAAAGUGGGGAACAACAC